GCUUUCCUGUGGCUCAGUUGGUAGAGCAUUGCACUAAGUUUUGGGUUCAAAUCCCAGGGAAUGCA